UUCACGGCGAAGUGAAGCGGCAACAGCUCAAAUUUGAAAUUGCGGGCAGGCCAGCAUCAGUUUGGGCGACCGGAUAAAGGCCUCUGUCAUGUAUCUCCCUUCGGGAUGACCUUAUAGGGGAGGCGUAAUGCGGCCAGCCCGGACUGAGGUCCGCGCAUCUGCUAGGAUGCUGGCGUAAUGGCUGUAAGCGGCCCGUCUUGAAACACGGACCAAGGAGUCUAACAUCUAUGCGAGUGUUUGGGUGUCAAGCCCGGGACGCGUAAUGAAAGUGAACGGAGGUGGGAMCCYCUCCGGGGGGUGCACCAUCGACCGAUCCUGAUGUCUUCGGAUGGAUUUGAGUAAGAGCAUAGCUGUUGGGACCCGAAAGAUGGUGAACUAUGCUUGAAUAGGGUGAAGCCAGAGGAAACUCUGGUGGAGGCUCGCAGCGGUUACUGACGUGCAAAUCGAUCGUCAAAUUUGGGCAUAGGGGCGAAAGACUAAU
rnacentral:rRNA from 1 species